GUUCAUAUGAGGUCUCGAGCCCCUUCAAGCUCUUCCAGUCCUUUCUCUGAUUCCUUCAACGGGGGACCCGUUUUCAGUUCAGUGGUUUGCUGCUGGCAUUCGCCUAUGUAUUUGCUGUAUUCUGGGUGGGUCUCUCGGGAGAGAUCUACAUCCGGUUCCUGUCAGCCUGCACUUCUUUGCUUCAUCCAUCUUAUCUAAUUGGGUGGCUGUAUAUGUAUGGGCCACAUGUGGGGCAGGCUCUGAAUGGGUGUUCCUUCUGCCUCUGUUCUAAACUUUGCCUCCAUAUUCCCUCUCAAGAGUAUUCUUGUUUCCCUUUUAAAGAAGGAGUGAAGCAUUUUGGUCAUCCUUGAUUUUCAUGUGUUCUGUGCAUCUAGGGUAAUUCAAGCAUUUGGGCUAAUAGCCACUUAUCAACGAGUGCAUAUUAUGUGUGUUUUUCUGUGACUGGGUUACCUCACUCAGG
rnacentral:lncRNA from 1 species